GACGAACGCUGGCGGCGUGCUUAACACAUGCAAGUCGAACGGACAGGCCCUGCUCUUGUGGGGUGCUCGAUUGGCGAACGGGUGAGUAACACGUGUGUAACCUGCCCCUGACUUUGGGAUAACUUCUGGAAACUGCGGCUCAUACCGCAUAGGAGCUCCUGCUGCAUGUGGGGGGUUGGAAAGUUACGGCGGUUGUGGAUGGACUCGCGGCUUAUCAGCUUGUUGGGGGGGUAGGGGCUGACCAAGGCUUUGACGGGUAGCCGGCAUGGGAGGGGGACCGGCCACAUUGGGACUGAGAUACGGCCCAGAAUGCUACGGGACGCAGCAGUGGGGAAUAUUGCAGAGUGGGCGGAAGCCUGAUGCAGCAACGCCGCGUGCGGGAUGACGGCCUUCGAGUUGUAAACCGCUUUCGCCGGUGACGAAGCGUGAGUGACGGUAAUGGGUAAAGAAGCACCGGCUAACUACGUG
rnacentral:rRNA from 1 species